rnacentral:rRNA from 1 species
UAGGGAAUCUUCCACAAUGGACGCAAGUCUGAUGGAGCAACGCCGCGUGAGUGAAGAAGGUCUUCGGAUCGUAAAACUCUGUUGUUAGAGAAGAACACGAGUGAGAGUAACUGUUCAUUCGAUGACGGUAUCUAACCAGCAAGUCACGGCUAACUACGUGCCAGCAGCCGCGGUAAUACGUAGGUGGCAAGCGUUAUCCGGAUUUAUUGGGCGUAAAGAGAGUGCAGGCGGUUUUCUAAGUCUGAUGUGAAAGCCUUCGGCUUAACCGGAGAAGUGCAUCGGAAACUGGAUAACUUGAGUGCAGAAGAGGGUAGUGGAACUCCAUGUGUAGCGGUGGAAUGCGUAGAUAUAUGGAAGAACACCAGUGGCGAAGGCGGCUACCUGGUCUGCAACUGACGCUGAGACUCGAAAGCAUGGGUAGCGAACAGGAUUAGAUGCCCUGGUAGUCCAUGCCGUAAACGAUGAGUGCUAGGUGUUGGAGGGUUUCCGCCCUUCAGUGCCGGAGCUAACGCAUUAAGCACUCCGCCUGGGGAGUACGACCGCAAGGUUG